UACGUAGGGGCAAGCGUUGUCCGGAUUUAUUGGGCGUAAAGAGCGUGUAGGCGGCUUUACAGGUCCGUUGUGAAACUCGAGGCUCAACCUCGAGACGCCGGUGGAAACCGUAAAGCUAGAGUCCGGAAGAGGAGAGUGGAAGUUCCUGGUGUAGCGGUGAAAUGCGCAGAUAUCAGGAAGAACACCCGUGGCGAAGGCGGCUCUCUGGGACGGUACUGACGCUGAGACGCGAAAGCGUGGGAGCG
rnacentral:rRNA from 1 species